ACCCUAUUUUUUCAAAUCAAAUUUAUUAGUUUUUUUUACAUUUGGUGAAAAAUUAAAUAAACUUUCAAUUGGCUUGAUAAAAGGGCCCCUUUUCUGAUUAUAGCCUCAAAGCACGUUUUUACUUUGCCAAUCUAUUAGUCCAGCACCAAAAUUGCAGAGCUACCGCACUAUAGCUAUAGAAAUACUUCCAGUAUAGACAAAAAUUUCCAAUUCAUCAACACAAAAAAGUAGAAGAAAGGGAACUUUAUUUUGUCCUUUUUUUUGUUGUUGUAUUAUUUUGUGUUUUCAUUCCUUUGGCACGAGUUCGGCAUACUGAUGAUUGGAAACGAAAAAACUGGAGCUGGAGUUGAUUGGGCGACGACGACGAUGUUGGUUGCAGCGACAAGGGUGGUAGGAUGCAGUCGAUAUAGAAAGUACCCAACCCAGUUUUCUUUCAUUUUUACUGCACAGCAGUAGCGUAACAUCAUUCUUUCCUCCUGCUUUCCCCUUGGUUCUGGUUCAACAUUGAACGUGCAGAUUUUUAAUCAACUUCCAUCAGAACUGCAUUUGAUAUAGAAAAAGAUGAGAGGCGAGUUGCAUCCUAAAAUACAAAAAAAAAAAACA